ACAGCAGUCGCCACGGGAAUACGUAGGUGGCAAGCGUUGUCCGGAAUUAUUGGGUGUAAAGGGCUCGCAGGCGGUUUCUUAAGUCUGAUGUGAAAGCCCCCGGCUCAACCGGGGAGGGUCAUUGGAAACUGGGAAACUUGAGUGCAGAGGAGGAGAGUGGAAUUCCACGUGUAGCGGUGAAAUGCGUAGAGAUGUGGAGGAACACCAGUGGCGAAGGCGGCUCUCUGGUCUGUAACUGACGCUGAGGAGCGAAAGCGUGGGGAGCGAACAGGAUUAGAUACCCCAGUAGUCCCUGUCUCUUAUAA
rnacentral:rRNA from 1 species